rnacentral:rRNA from 1 species
UACAGAGGUCCCAAGCGUUGUUCGGAUUCAUUGGGCGUAAAGGGUGCGUAGGCGGUUGGGUAAGUCUGAUGUGAAAUCUCACAGCUUAACUGUGAAACUGCAUUGGAUACUAUCCGGCUCGAGGAAUGGAGGGGAGACUGGAAUACUUGGUGUAGCAGUGAAAUGCGUAGAUAUCAAGUGGAACACCAGUGGCGAAGGCGAGUCUCUGGACAUUUCCUGACGCUGAGGCACGAAAGCCAGGGGAGCAAACAGG